CCUACGGGUGGCAGCAGUGGGGAAUAUUGCACAAUGGGGGAAACCCUGAUGCAGCAACGCCGCGUGAGCGAUGAAGGCCUUCGGGUCGUAAAGCUCUGUCCUAAGGGAAGAAUACUGACGGUACCUUAGGAGGAAGCCACGGCUAACUACGUGCCAGCAGCCGCGGUAAUACGUAGGGGGCAAGCGUUAUUCGGAAUAACUGGGUGUAAAGGCUGCGUAGGCGGUAGGGCAAGUCAGAGAUGAAAGCACGGGGCUCAACCCCGGAAUUGUAUUUGAAACUGUCUUACUAGAGUGCAGGAGAGGAAAGCGGAAUUCCUAGUGUAGCGGUGAAAUGCGUAGAUAUUAGGAAGAACACCAGUGGCGAAGGCGGCUUUCUGGACUGUAACUGACGCUGGGGAACGAAAGCGUGGGGAGCGAACAGGAUUAGAUACCCUGGUAGUC
rnacentral:rRNA from 1 species